UUGAUUAGAAGCCAAAAAGAGGCUUAUCACUGUUAAUGAUAGAAUUGAAAACCUUUUUCCUAUCAAA
rnacentral:tRNA from 1 species